GUGAGGAAUAUUGGUCAAUGGGCGGGAGCCUGAACCAGCCAAGUCGCGUGAAGGAAGAAGGAUCUAUGGUUCGUAAACUUCUUUUGCAGGGGAAUAAAGUGCAGGACGUGUCCUGUUUUGUAUGUACCCUGAGAAUAAGGAUCGGCUAACUCCGUGCCAGCAGCCGCGGUAAUACGGAGGAUCCGAGCGUUAUCCGGUUUUAUUGGGUUUAAAGGGUGCGUAGGUGGGUUGAUAAGUCAGCGGUGAAAGGUUGCGGCUUAACUGUAAAAAUGCCGUUGAAACUGUCGGACUUGAGUGUAAAUGAGGUAGGCGGAAUGCGUGGUGUAGCGGUGAAAUGCAUAGAUAUCACGCAGAACUCCGAUUGCGAAGGCAGCUUACUAAGCUACAACUGACACUGAAGCACGAAAGCGUGGGGAUCAAACAGGAUUAGAUACCCGGGUAGUCC
rnacentral:rRNA from 1 species